UUUGGCAUCUCUCCACUGCUCGCUGGUAAUUGCCUUUCUUGUGGCCUUGCCUCUGGCUUCCAACCCCUCUAUUUCAGGAGCAGAAAUGAAGUCACUCUUCACUGAAAUUCCAUGCCAUAAUCGUCCCAUUCCUCAGAAGCCAAAGAAUUCAGACGGUAAAGCAGUAAAUGGGAGCUGUACUUGAAUUAAUGGAAAUAGCUGCCUGGAGAUCCCAAAGAUGGCUGCAAAGUGGACUGACUGAAACUGGAAAUGGUCUGGGUUUCUGAAGUGUUUUUAAAGAGCAUUGCUUGGCUAUCUUUGAAUGAAGAAGAGGAGUUUUAGGACUGAACUGAGAAUGUUUCAAGACUUUUAAUUUCUACAACAUCCACUCAGGGGCUGAUUACUUCUCUUCCAAGCCUUUCCAUGCUGCCCUCAGGAGUGAUCUCUAUGCUUGGUAUAUUCUUCAUGGCGUAAGAUGUUUCACUUACAGCAACACUACGUUUUCAUGGGCCUGCCAGAAUCCAAAAUUAAAGAGUAUUUUUUUUCUGCUUUCCCUCAGAACAGCAACCAUACUGAUGUAAUCUAUCAGUUUUAGACUAAAGUCAAAAUCAAAUCAAACUAUUUUUAUCUUGUGAUCUAAUAUGCAACUGUGGUGUAGUUCCUUUACUGUAUAUCCUAGGAUUUUCACUUCUACCAAUUGUAUUUAGUCUUCAAAGUUGUGCUUAUUUGUGAAGAUUAUUAUUAUUAUUAUCAGAUUUUCACCAACAAUAUGUUUUGAUUCAAUUCGCAUAUUUAUUGUCAUAAUGCACAUUUUCCAUCUCGUCUAAUCACUGACAAAAUCGAAAACCCUUUGUUAACAAACUUUCUUGUCUGUAAUUUCAUGACAAGAUUACCAGUGCUUGUGGCUUGCAGAGAGUUUGUAAGUUUGGAAUAUAUUUCCAGCUGUCAAUUUUACUCUGAAGUCAUGAGCUAAGUGGCCUCAGAGCCUUUCAAGGCUCCGGUUCUGUGACUGUGGAUAUGCUUAGUUUCAUUCACCGAGCCGAUGCUAGACCUGACAGAGGAUGGAGGGUCUUCCAGCCAGUGAAAUGCGCUUCUGCCACUUUUGUCUACUAUGCUCAUAAAGUUCAACCAUAUAUGCAUGGACAGAGGCUCCUUGUGAAAAACAAGAUGGCCAUGCAGAGCUUUGCCAAGAGAAACAUAAGUAGACAGAAAAGCAUGCUCAAGCCUGGAGAAUAUUCUUCUCCUCGUGGCAGAUCCAUCAUUUUUGAGUUCCACAUGGUUUGUGUCUGAAAUGUUAAGCAGUGUAUUAUAAUGUGUUGGGUUUGUGGAGUUUGUUUAACCUUUCUUCUUUCUCUCUAAACCUGAUACGUUCUUUAUUGCUAAUUUACUUGUCUGAUACGAUCUAUUUCUUACAUUUUAUGAGUUGGAGUUAUAACGCAACUUUAGCAAGCAAUGCAACACAAAAAUAGUUAUUAAAAUAAUUUGUGAGAAUUCAGAAUGUUAUAUUUAUAACACAGUGUUACUAUCAAUAAAGAUUAUUUGCGGUGUUCAUUCACAUUUAUGCAGAGAAUUUGAAGAUACAGAAUGUUCUGUUUGAGCCCACAUACAUAUACAUGUGGUUUUGAUGUCAGCAAGAUUCAGUAUCACUCAAAAUGUAUUAUGCUGAAUAAUUUAGAUGCAUGGAAAUGCAAACUCUCAGCCAAAACCGUUUUCCGUCUUUUUUUUUUCCCACUCAAGUAUGUUGUUGUAGAUAGUAAUAUUUGACUUGGCUUUACACAAUGGCAAAACCCAAUGUAACACCUUCUGCUUCAGAAAAGCACGUUAUGUGAUUCAGAAGUGAGAUUUAACAGUGACUGGUUGCAUGUGUAUUCUGACAUUUAAUAAACUGUCAUAAUGAAGUGGAGGUCCAUAAGGCUUACAUUUUCCCUGAUACCAAACAUAAAAU